ACCUUAAGCUAACUAUCCACCGACUUUGGCAGAACAAAGUGUGGAAGGUCAUUACAAAUAUCAUGUUUUCAUAAAAAUUCGACGUGCAUUUGUUCACACUUGUUCACUUCAUUGCAAUUUAUAGAUGUAUAUUUAUCAUAUCCGUACUAUUUGGUCAUUCGCUUCAUUCUUCACCUAAAAUGCAAGACCUUUAAAAUACUUGGAAUAAAACUGUAGAAAAUAUAUUUGUCAAAUGUUUCAGCAUAUCGAUAUGUUUGGCACUACAUGAGAAACAUUUCUAGUCACAAUCAAUUAAAUCAAUAUAAUUAAUGUUUACAUGUACCUACCAUAAUGCAUAUAAUAACAACACACUAUUAUCAACAAAAAAAAACAGUAUUAUACCAAGAAAAGUCAAUAAAAUUAAAUUAACAUGGCUUACUGUAUACAUUACCAUACAGAAUAAACUCUCUCUUUCAACUUGAUGCUUAGGUUACACAAGUGCCAGGACGAGUGACCAAGACACGAUUCGAACAUGCUGAUCAUCUGCUUCGUAAUCGAAAAUUAAUGUAUGCAUGAGUAUGCAAAAAUCAACAACCAUAUUUAAUUACAUCUUAUAAUUUUGAUCAAAAUCUCCCUAGAAGCAAUGUAGUGACCGACCGUACAUUACGAUACAAGUGCAAAAAUAAAGGAAAUUCGCAACGAGUGGCGAUAAAUUGAAACACGACCGAAGAGAGUGUUUUAAAUCGACACGAGUUGCGGAUUACCUUUUCACAUCACCUAUUCGGAAAAGGGCUUUUUCUUCCCCGCUAGGAGGGAUCAAAGUGGCACUUUUCCUCCCUGCUAGGGGGGAUCAAAGUGGUACUUUUCUGUUAUAGGACAUAUUUUUUUCAUUUUUACAUACAACUUUUUAGCUUAAAUAGUGUUUUGAUACAUGAUAAUUUCCUCAUUUAUUUAUUUUUUUAUUUUCCUCAUAGUUGAUGUGAAAAGCAGUAUGUGUCACAAGGGAUCAAAAUGAUAUAUUUCGUCUUGGGCGUUAACACUUGAAUCCCUCAUUAUGCUCAGGAUUCUACUUUACUAUUCUAUUGUAGAAUCCAUCGCUUCAUUCAGCGUUCAAUGUACGCCCUUGACGGAAAUAUAUCAUUUUGAUCCCUUGUAACACAAACUACUAUUUCACAAGUGUAUUGUACAACGUUUUACAGUACUAUGGCCCUUUAAAUUUUUGACAUAGGCACGUAUUGUCCUUAAUCCCGCCCUAGGGCAGUAAAGUAGCACCAUAUGUACUGUAACUGUAGUUAGCAUAUUGAUGCACGGUACAGAAAAUGCAGGAAAUUAAUGAUUUGACAGUGAAAAGCUUCGUGAAGACUAGCGGUUUAAUGGUUUCGAUGAAAAGGCGGAUAUAGUUUCCACAAAGGGCGUGCGAAUCUUUGAACCCACUUCGCAUCACGACGUACGUGUAAACUUUUUAACUAAUCGUAAGGUUGCUUAGGUAUAAUUAUUUUUGUCUGUAUUUUUAAUGAUUGUCCCUCUCAACAGUGAUUGUUACUUUGCUACAAAAAAUAACUAAAUUGCAAGACCGAAGUGAUCCCAUAAGUGUUCCGUGAACAAAGUUUUGUACGGAACACUAAAAAUCAAUAAUAUUAUAUUACUCUAAAGGGCCAAUCAUUGUGUAGUUUAUCAUAUAUAAAUCAUAAUGUUCAAAUCAAAAUCACAUUGAAGUUCUGAUCUACUAAAACAUAUGAGCUCUGUGAGGCGAACCCUAGAAGAGAGUGAAGAAACCAACCAAUAGAAGGUGCAGAUAAAAAUAGGUAGGCUAAUUAUAACUAGAGCUUAGAAAAACGUGUAUAAGUACAUUAUUAACUAGGUACACAAGAACUUCAGUCCGUUUCGCAAUGUGCCGUUUUCAAGAAUAAGUUACCUUAGGUAUCUUAUUGACGGUUUGAAAUAAGACGCUACGGCUAUAUAGAUUUUUACUUUAGAAGAAAACCUUAUUGAAAGCCGACUAUGUGGUUAUUUAGCCUGAAAAUGUCACAUUCAACAAGUGCCGUAAACUCAAGCAACUUCAUUUCAACAGUCCAACUACGAUGCCCGACAUGCAUAACGUGUUUUUUUAAUAAAACAUAUAGAAUAUUUAAAUUGUAAUACUUAAUGUUACUUAUGUUAAUGAACGCUCGUGUUGUUAGCGAAAUACAGGGUUACUUUUUUACCGGUACAAUAAAUUUUACCACAUCAUUGGUAUCGAUAAUAGAUCACAUUGCACAAAUAAAAAAAUGUUUUUUUUUUAUUUCGCAUCAAUUAAUUUAUCCUUCACCAAUUUAGUAACUUCUGGUUGCACUAAUUACAAGGUGUCAACGGUAUGAGGUAAAAGGGGCGGGGCGGGGCGAGCGGCCGGCGGCGCACGAUUUGACAACUGUUGGAGACUAAGAACGCAACCUCAUUAGAUAGGUUUUAUUUUUCUGUUCUUACUGACAUGUGUUGUCACGUCACUUCUUGAUUUCCUUCAAAAAUACGUUUGUGUUAUUUGUUCCCGUUUUAUUUAACUCUCACUUAUCUUACAAAUAACCAUCAACAACAAAGCAUCCGGGAAACUGCGAAUGCAAAGUGCAACCCUUUGACCGAUAAGACAGACUAGUCCGUAAUAAAUAAUAAGUGCGUUUGACGAAAUUAAACGUGAAAAUUACUUGGAAAGAAUCGAAGCAAACGUACAAAAACGGGCACGGCUUUGUUUACAAAACCACGGACAGCAUUUUGAACAUUUACUUAAGUAUGUGAAUUAGUACGAGAAAUGGACUCCAUUAAUUAGGUAUGUAGGGUAGAUUUCAAUCAUUGUAUUCCAAUUUUUUAAAUACGCCUCAAUGAAAAAUGUUGCAGACUUACUUCGUAAUUUUAUCAGAUUUCGAGACCUUUUGUCAUACUUCACACAAAGCAACAUCUUCAUUUUGACGGUCCUAAGCCCGUGCAAGUAUGAAGGAAGAAUUGGGAUCAAGUAGUAUUUUUUUAUGUCAAUACGCCGCCGCCGCUCGCAAAAUCGCGCGCGAUGACGUAAACAAACAGUUGCCAGUUCGUGCGUUUGCUAAUUGAUGCGUAAGGCAUCCACAUUUUCUAGUACUUUAGCGGAUAAGUUCGGGCAUUGGUAUUUUUGUUUUUUUGUUCCCAAAUAGUAGUAACAAAGAAUGCUGGUAUUUUUUAUUAUUGGCAACAAUUACGUAUGUUGAUUUAUUGUA